rnacentral:rRNA from 1 species
CCUACGGGACGCACCAGUGGGGAAUAUUGGACAAUGGGCGAAAGCCUGAUCCAGCAAUGCCGCGUGUGUGAAGAAGGUCUUCGGAUUGUAAAGCACUUUCGACGGGGACGAUGAUGACGGUACCCGUAGAAGAAGCCCCGGCUAACUUCGUGCCAGCAGCCGCGGUAAUACGAAGGGGGCUAGCGUUGUUCGGAAUUACUGGGCGUAAAGCGCGCGUAGGCGGAUAGAUAAGUCAGAGGUGAAAUCCCGGGGCUCAACCCCGGAAUUGCCUUUGAUACUGUUUAUCUUGAGUGCAGAAGAGGUAAGUGGAAUUCCGAGUGUAGAGGUGAAAUUCGUAGAUAUUGGGAAGAACACCGGUGGCGAAGGCGGCAACCUGGCUCGAUACUGACGCUGAGGCGCGAAAGCGUGGGGAGCAAACAGGAUUAGAUACCCCUGUAGUC